GGAAGAUAUUCUAUGUUCAUGGAGUAGAAGACUUUGUAUUGUUAAAAUACCCAUACUCCACAAAGCAAUCCAUAGAAUAAAUAUGUUCCAAGAAUAUUUUUCAUAGAUAAGUGAAAAAUAACUAUUAGAUGCUUGUCUACAACAACUGAAAAUACAUACAUUUUUCUCAAUAUAAAUUUUAAAUAAAUCCAAAUAUGUUAACUGUAUAUUUUAAAAUAAUAUAUCACUAUUAGGUUUUUUAAUUAACAUAAAUACAUAAAGUCUUUUUGUUUGUUUUGUUUUUAGUAGAGCUUAAAAUCUUGGCUCUUACUGUGGUACAAACACAAAAUAAGAACAAUUUUUCGACAUUAGCGUUCAUUGUAAUAAGGCUAUACUUCAACGUCCCUCACAUCACCAAAGGAUUUUACCUCCAUAGUAGCUAAGCUAAGAGUUGACAGUUCUGCUGCACCAAGGAAUGAAUUGUAGGCAGAAUUUUUAGAUACACAUUUCCUGCUAUGGUCAAAGCUAUUUGACUUGAGUGAUUGCCAUCAUUCUCAGCCCACAGGGAACAGGUUAAAUUUGAAAAUACCUAAUAAAAAUAUUAAAAAAAAGAAAUGGUGUGUGUAUUAAGAUGGUCUAUCCAUGAAGUCGUUCAUCAACUCUUUCAAUGAAGAAUGGUUCUGCUUGGAGGGUGGCAUAGACAUUAGUUGAGGGUAAGAUUCUGGUUCAUUGGCUGUGAUGAUUUUGAAAAGCAGUCAUCUCUGAAUAAGAGUAACUUACAAAGUCCUUCUUCAAAGUUGAUACAAUAGUUAUAAAUAUCAAACAAAGCCUCCAGUCUCACUAUUUGCUGUUCUCUUACAAGCCACUUCCCAAAUUAAUUGUCUACAUUUCUUUUGGCUGUAUAAAUAAUUUUGAAAUAUGUAAGCUUUUCUGAAAACCAUAGUAUAGUGGGAAAACCUCAAAUAAACAAUCCUACUAAUAGAGAGGUUGAGAUAGGAGAAGCAUGAUUUCAAGACCAUUAUGUAGCACACAGCAAGACCCUGUCAUGUACAAACAAGCACAAAGUGUAUAUGGAUUGUCCAAUAUUGGACAUAUUUCUCCCAUUACCAAAUUAGAGAGACCAUGGGAUGACAUCUGACAAAUUUCUAAUUCCUCAUAUUUUUGAAUUUCAAUCAAUUAGGAUAUCUUGAGAUAUUAAGGAAAAGUGAUUGUUAUUUCCUGUUAAUUUUCUUUUAGAGGUAGAAUUAUGUUUGUGUGUGUUUGUUGAAAGAUUACUUUCUUGAUUCGUCUAGGCUAUAGUUUCACUCCUUGUGUUGGUGUUUUCUAUCUAUUAUCCUUUGUAGGGCUGGAUUUGUGGAAAGAUAUUGUGUAAAUUUAGAUUUGUCAUGGAAUAUCUUGUUUUCUCCAUAUAUGAUGAUUCAGAGUUUUGCUGGGUAUAGUAGCCUGGGCUAGCAUUUGUGUUCUCUUAGGAUGUGUAUGACAUCUGCCCAGGAUCUUCUAGCUUUCAUAGUCUCUGUUGAGAAGUCAGGUAUAAUUCUGAUAGGUCUGCCUUUAUAUGUUACUUGAGCUUUUUCCCUUACUACUUUUAAAAUUCUUUUGUUGCUUAGUGCAUUUGUUGUUUUGAUUGUUAUGUGACGGGAAGAAUUUCUUUUCUGGUCCAGUCUAUUUGGAGUUCUGUAGGCUUCUUGUAUGUUCAUGGGCAUCUCUUUCUUUAGGUUAGAAACGUUUUCUUCUAUACUUUUAUGUUUGCUGGACCUUUGAGUUGAAAAUCUUCAUUCUCAUCCACUCCUAUUAUCCGUACGUUUGGUCUUCUUAUUGUGUCCUGGAUUUCCUGGAUAUUUUGAGUUAGGAUCUUUUUGCAUUUUCCAUUUUCUUUGAUUGUUGUGCCGAUGUUCUCUAUGGAAUCUUCUGCACCUGAGAUUCUCUCUUCCAUCUCUUGUAUUCUGUUGCUGAUGCUCAAAUCUAUGGUUCCAGAUUUCUUUCCUAGGGUUUCUAUCUCUAGUGUUGCCUCGCUUUGAGUUUUCUUUAUUGUGUCUACUUCCCUUUUUAGGUCUAGUAUGGUUUUGUUCAUUUCCAUCACCUGUUUGUAUGUUUUUUCCUCUUUUUCUGUAAGGACUUCUACCUGACUUGUAACUCUUUAGCAGUGUUCUCCUGUAUUUCUUUAAGUGAUUUAUUAAAGUCCUUCUUGAUGUCCUCUACCAUCAUCAUGAGAUAUGCUUUUAAAUCUAGGUCUAGGUUCUCAGGUGUGUUGGGGUUCCCUGGACUGGGCGCAGUGGGUGUGCUGGGUUCUGGUGAUGGUGAGUGGUCUUGGUUCCUGUUAGUAAGAUUCCUCCGUUUACCUUUCGCCAUCUGGUAAUCUCUGGAGUUAGUAGUUAUAGUUGACUCUGUUUGGAGAUUGUUCUUCUGGUGAUUCUGUUACCGUCUAUCAGCAGACCUGGGAGACAGAUUCUCUCCUCUGAGUUUCAGUGCUCAGAGCACUCUCUGCUGGCAAGUUCUCUUACAGGGAAGGUGCGCAGAUAUCUUGUAUUUGGACCUCCUCCUGGCCGAAG
rnacentral:lncRNA from 1 species